UGCUUUAGUUCUGGUCGAAGGUUUUCUGAAUGAGAUGUUAAACCGAGGACUUAUCUGGGCUCUUGCACUUUAUUUAUCUGCCUGCACUGCACUUUCUUUGUAACUGCGUCACUAUAUUCUACAUUUCAAUUUCUUUUGGUUUUGAAUACAUGGCACGAUCUAUUGAACAUAGAACAUUCCAGCACAGUACAGGUCCUUCAGCCCACAACGUUGUGCUGAGCUUUUAACCCACUCUAAGACUAAUCUAACUCUUCCUUCCCACAGUGCUCUGCGCACUCACUCUACGCAUCAUCUUAUACACUUCUAUCAAAUCACCUCCAUUCCAGAGAAAGGCUCCAGCUUGCUCAACCUUUCCUCAUAAGACAUGGGUUCAGACAGCAUCCUGGUAAAUCUCCUUUGCACUGUUUCUAAAGUUCUCACAUCCUUCUUAUAAUGCCACUAGAUCUGAGCUCGGUACUCCAUGUGUGGUCUAACCACGGUGGGAUGCAAAACAAAAGCUCUUUCACCUUUCUCUUUCACCCAUGGUCCACUCUCAUCUCUUACCAGAUCCCUUCUUCUUCAGAUCUUUACCUCUUCCACUUAUCACUUCCCAGCUUCUUACUUUAUUCCCCCCCCCCACCCAUCUUUCAAUUUGUACUCCUUUCCUUCCCCCCAUCUUCUUACUGUGGCUUCUUCUCCCUUCCCUUCCAGUCCUGAUUGAGGGUCUCGGCCUGAAACAUCGACCUUUUAUUCCUCUCCAUAGAUGCUGCCUGACAUACAAUUUGUGUGUUUGUCUGUUCUGGAUUUCCAGCAUCUGCAGAAUCUCUUGUGAUUAUUAUUUCAUUGUAUGCAUGUAGAUAUAAUAAACCAAUUUUGCUUUCUCAGGUAAUAUAGAUGAGAUAUAUAAACUCCUUAGACAGGCAUGAGGGAGUCUAUCUCCUCUAUAUUUAACUCAAUAAAAUCAAUUAUCUAGUCAUUAACACACAGCUGUUUGUGGAAACUUGUUGUGAACAAAUUGGCUGCCACAUUUUGUACCUAAGUACUCAACACUUCAAAAAGUACCACAUUCAUAAUAGCAUCUCUUAUGAUGUCCUUUGGUGUGAAAGGAAUGUGCGUUCUUUUUUCACUGGCCGCUGUUCAAAGCUGCAAAAAAGAUGUUUACUUUCCGCUGACUGCACGGCUCCUGUUCAAAAUGCGCUUAGCAGUUUCAAUGAAGCUUCUGGUGGACAGAAAGCCGACAAUACUUAAUACAUCUGAUUUGGCACCAGAUUAACAAACCCAUUCAGAGCAGCGACAGCAUGCCUAUUGUAAGAGGCGCUCAGAGUCGAGGCCGAAGCAAAUUGGUGGAGUGGGGCAAGGGAAAUUUAAUCUGGCCCAUUAUAUGGAGUUAUAUCUAACCACGUUACACCUGACCCAAGAGCACUUAAAUCCUGUCGCCAAGGCCCCAGGAAUUCCAGAGGUAGAGAGGGAGUUCUGUUCAUGCUAUUCACAGUCAGUUUUUGCUGUCUGCACCUCAAAUUUCCAGAUUUAAAAAAAGGACUUGCAUAUUACCUGAAAGAUUGAUUCCCUGGAGCAUUGGUAUAAAAAAUCAUGAGUGUUUGAUAACUCUGGGCCUUUACUUGCUGGUUUAGAAGAAUGAGCAGGGGAUCUCAGUGAGACCUAUCGAAUAUGGAAAGGGCAAAAUAGAGUGAAUGUGGAGAGUAUGUUUCCUAUAUUAUGGGAGUCUAGAACAAGAAGGCACAGAUUCAGAAUAGAGGAUGUCCAAUUAGAACAGAGAUGAGGAGGAAUUUCUUUAGCCAGAGGGUGGUGAAUCUGUGGAAUUCAUUGCCACAUAUGACUGUGGAGGCCAAGUCAUUGGAUAUAUUUAAAGUGGAGGUUGAUAGGUUCUUGAUUAUACAACACAUCAAAAGUUAUAUGGAGAAAGCAGAAUGGGGUUGAGAGGGAUAAUAAUCAGCCAUGAUGGAAUGACAGAGCACACUUGAUGGGCUGAAUGGCCCAAUUCUGCUCCUGUGUCUUAUGAUCUUAUGGAGAAGAUGAGUUGUGGAAUUCUUAAAAAUGAGUCCAUAAGUUGUGGAAUUAGUGCAGAGUAGUGGUGAGUCCCCAUAUUCUACAACUAACCAACACUCUAGGGGUUAUUUACUGUAGCCUCAUAAGCUGUUUUAAAUAGUGGGAGAGUCCGGGACCAGAGAGCACUGCCUGAGAAUACAAGGAUGUCUCUUUAGGAUAGAGAUGAGCAGGAUUUUCUUCAGCCAGAGGGCUGUAAAUCUGUAGAAUUCAUUGCGACAGAUACCUGUGGAGGCCAAGUAAUUGGGUAUAUUUAAAGCAGUUGAUAGGUUCUUGAUUAACAAAUGCACCAAUUUUAAUUAUUUAUUUAUUGAGAUACAAUAGGCCCUUCCAGCCCUUUGAGCCAUGCCGCCCAGCAACUCCAGAUUUAAUCCUAGCACAAUCAUGGGAUAAAUUUACAAUGACCAAUUAACCUACCAACCGGUGUGUAUUUGGACUAUGGGAGGAAACCAGUGCACCCAGAGGAAAUGCACACAGUCACAGAGGGAACAUGCAAACUCCCUACAGGCAGUGGCGGGAAUUAAACCUGGGUCGCUGGUAUUGUCUAGUGUUGUGCUAACCACUACGUUAUCAUGGGGAGAAGGCAGGAGAAUGGGGUUGAGAGGGGUAAUAAAGCAGCCAUGUUGGAAUGGCAGAGCAGAUUCGAUGGGUGAAUCUCCAAUGUCUUAUGAGCAUAUGAUCUUAUGAGGGGUAUAAACAGGAUAAAUGCAAGCAGGUCUUUUCCCCUGAGGUUGGGUGAAACCAGGACUAGGGACCAGAGAUUAAGGAAGAAAAAUGAACUAUUUAAGGGGAAUCUGAGGAGAAACCUCUUCACUCAAAGGGUGGCUGAAGUAUGAGCAGCCAGCAGAAAUGGUGGAUGUGGGUUUGAUUGCAACAAUUAAGAGUUUGGAUAAAUAGUGAUGGGAAAGGUAUGGAAGGCUGUGGUCCAGGUGUGGGUCAAUGCAAAUAAAAAGGUCAAAGAGCCCAGUUUAGUGCUGUAGUGCCAUAUGAUUCUAAGACUUUUUGGCUUGUACCUAUCACCGAAAUUCCUCAUUUUGCUGAGCAAAUGUUUUUCACUUCAGACAUGUACUUGCUUGUGAAAUGUAGUGAGGUCAUGGUUCAGAAAUGGGAGACUUUCGACCCAUCAGCCUCAAUCGGAUCACAGCCGUGACAAAGCAGAAAUUGUCUUUGUGGAAGCCAUAAAUCGCAAGAGUGGUUUAUAACCAUUGCCAAAUUCUUGAGAGUUCAUGACUCUUCCAAAGCAGUUCUAGGCACUAUUCAUUGAUUUUAUAAUGCAAAGGGCAUCAUUUAAGGAAUUAUAAAAAUCCCACCAUGUGAUCAAUUUCAAAUCCUUUCAAUGGUUUUGAUAUAAAAUGGAAAAGAUCUCAUAAGAAUUGUUUAAAUGUUUUAAGGUUUCACAUGUAAGAUUGGCACUGAAUCCAGAAAUCUAUAUUAAGACAUACAUAGUGAUAAGCCCUUACAAAACUCCUUAAAUGAGUAAAAGCACAAGACUAUAAGACAUAGGAACAGAAUUAGGCCAUUCAGCCCAUUGAGUCUGCUCCACCAUUCCAUCAUGGCUGAUUUAUUAUCCCUCUCAACCCCAUUUUCUGACUUCUCCCUGUAACUUUUGAUGCACUGAUUAAUCAAGAAUCUAUCAAUCUUAGAUUUACAGAUCAGGACAGAUUUACCCCGAUCUGAGAGCUACUGCUGUAACUGCGUUAUGCUACUGUGCCACUGUCACUGGUCAGUUUAACAGUUCAGGCAAUGUAAUGUUCUUUCACUGCUGCUCGAAGAGGUCGGGCGAGAUCAUAGUGCAUAAGCUUUUAACUUGGUGCUAACUUAGUUCAGAGCUUUUUACUCAUUGGCACGAUUUCGCUGUUGCCAGCAAGGUUAGCAUUUAACAAUUAUAGUUAAUUUACACUUGGGAAGGUGACAGGGAUCAUCUUCCUUCACCAUUGUAGAUCUCUGGUGAUUAGCAGCUCCGGGAUCGUGAUCUAGCGACAAUGAGCGAAUGGUAGUGUAUUCUGUCAGGAAUGUGGGAGGAGACUGAAGCAUCUGGAGGAAACCCAAGUAGUCGCAGAGAAAACGUACAAACUCCUUAUGGACAAUGGUGGGAAUUGAAUCCCAGCUGCUGAUUGCUGGCACUGUAAUAGCAUUACGUUAACUGCUAUGCUACUGUGCCACUGAAUUCACCUUUAGUGUACAAGUGGUUCAUUUAAGAGUCCUACAACAGCAGGAUAGAAACAAGUGAUGCAUGUCACUCUACUGUAUGUGUUGGAUUAGACUGUGUAAUUGUAAUUUCCUUUGCAGCUUAACAAUUGUUCAAAGUUCAAAGUACAUUUUAUUAUCAAGUACAUAUAUGUCACCAUGUACAAGAUUCUUUUUCUUAUCAGCAUACAAAUCUAUAGAAUAGUAACUAUAACAGAAUCAAUGAAAGACUGCCCACCUACUAGGGUGUACAACCAGAGUACAGAACACAAUAAACUGUGCAAAUGCAAAUGUAAAUAAGUAGCAAUAAAUAUCGGGAACAUGAGAUUAAGAAUCCUUGAAAGUAGAUCUAUUGGUUGUGGGAACAUUUCAAUAAUGGGGCAAGUGAAGUUGAGUGGAGUUAUCACCUUUUGUUCAAGAACCUGAUGGUUGAGGGUUAGUAACUGUUCUUGAAUCUGAUGGUGUGAGUCCUGAGGCUCUUCUACCUUCUUCUUAAUGGCAGCAGGGAGAAGGAAGCAUGACCUGGGUGGGGAUCCCUGAUGACGGACACUGCUUUCCCACAGCAGUGUUUCACGUAGGUGUGCUCAAUGUUUGUGAGAGCUCUACCUGUGAUAACCUUCUUGUAUUUUAUAUAACUACUUAUAUACUUAUGUAACUGUUUAGUAUAUUACCUAGUAGUCACAGUAUGUAUAUGCAAUUGUUCAGUAUGUUCCUGAGUGGUUACAGUUCUUUAUAUCAUUCUAGAAAGCCCCAAAAUCUUCUGUUAUUGCAUUAUUUGUAGAGGGGUUAUUUGAUUGAUUAACUCUUAACUAUGAAUUUGAAUAUAAUGUUUCUCAUCUAUGGUGUAUACAAAAGGUUGACCAUGUUGGUCCACCAUCUUUUUCCUUAGUCUUUCUGUUCUCUGUUCUUAGCUACCAGUCUUUUGCAGUUCUACAUUUCCAAAUCUCUUUGUUCUCUUUGCAAUAAAACAAUCAUGGUACAACAAGUGUUCUGGCUCUUUCCCGACAUCCAAAAGAGCACUGAAUCAAAUACAUCAGAAUCCAACAAUUGUGUCCGAGAGCUUGGUGGUGAGACGAAAGAACGUCUGAGGUGGAAGGGGUCUUUGAUUAAGAACAGUUCAACACAGGAACAGGCCCUUCAGCCCACUCCACAAUGUUGUGCCAAACCAGCUAAAAAGUAAAUUAAACAAUCCCCAGAGCUAAUCUCACCUACCUACAUAGUGUAUAGAACAGCUGGUUGCUUCACCAAGGCAGCUUGAAUACUCUAAUCAGACACAGGGUUUGAGUGUCUAAUGUGAUACAAACCAGUGCGUGAACACUGUAUGUCAAUAGUACUCACAAAUAUCCAGCAUAGAUGGAGGUUUAUGCUGCUCAAGGGUUAAAGUGGGGGUAAGAGGAAUGUCAUUCCAGGGAAUCUUCCCCUACUUCUGCCAGGCAGACUUAUAAUUCAACUAAGCCAGAAAUCAAAUUUUUGUUUUGUGCUGUAUCUAGGAAUGCAGAUCCAUAAUUCAAUAAGAGUUGCGUCACAGGUAGAUAGGGUUGUAAAGAGAGCCUUUGGCACAUUGGCCUUCAUAAAUCAGAGUAUUGAGCAGAUGCUGGAAACCCAAGCAACACACACAAAAUGCUGGAGGAUCUCAGCAGGUCAGGCAGCAUUUAUGGAAAAAAGUACAGUUAAUGUUUUAGGCCGAAACCCUUUGGCAGGACUGGAGAAAAAAAGCUUAAGCUGAGGAGUAGAUUUGAAAGGUGGUGGGAGAAGAGAAAGAAAACCAGAGAGAGGGGAGAGAAAAAACCAGAGAGAGGGGAGGAGUUGGCUUGUUAUGUUGAAGAUGUUUAAGAUGAUGGUGAAGCCUAAUUUUAAGUACUAUGUGCAGUUCUGGUCACCUGUCUACAGAAGUGAUGUAAGAAAGAUUGAAAGGGUGCAGAGAAAAUUUACAAGGAUGUUACUGGGUCUUGAGGACCUGAGUUACAGGCUAGAUUGAAUAGGUUAGGACUUUAUUCCCUAGAGCAGAGGAGAAUGAAGGGCCAUUUGACAGAGGUGUACAAAAUGAUGAGGGUUAUAGAUAGGAUAAAUAAAAGCUGGCUUUUUCCACUGAAGUUGGGUGAGACAGAACUAGAGGUCAUAGGUUAAGGGUGAAAGGUGAAAUGUUGAAGGAGAACAUGAGGGGAAACUCAGAAGGUGGUGCAAAUAUGGAACAAGCUGCCAGCCGAAGUGAUGGAAGUGUGUUUGUUUUCAACAUUUAAGAGAAGCUGGAUAAAUACACCAGCAAGAGGUGAGCAGUGGUCUAGGUACAGGUUGAUGGGACUAGGCAGAAUUAUAUUUCAGCACAGACUAGAUGGGCCAAAGGGCCUGUUUCUGUGCUGUAGUACUCUAUGAUUUGGUGGGUAUGGGUAAGAAGUGGGUAAAAGUGAAGAGCACAGCACUUUGAUUUCUCUGCAGCUUACUAGUUUAUUGGAGGGUAACACAUCAUUUAUAUCGACAUUUUAUUAAACUAUAGCAAACUUGAUGCUUAUACAGAUGAGAAAGUAUCUCAUAUCAAUGAUAGGGCACACUGAAGAACAGCAGAUAACAGGUAAAUUGAUUCUGCCCUGUGUCAACAAGGCAGAGGGCCAUAAGAGACUCCAGCAGCUCAUUCAACCCACAGUCUGUGCUGCCUUUCCAUCAUGGCUGAAAUAUUAUCCCUCUCAUCCUCAUUCUUCUGCCUUCUCAGAAUCAUCAGAACACCUCAGUAAAACAUCCAGCACAAUCAACGAUCAUCACACAUUAAAUGCUGGAGGACCUCAACAGGGUAGGAAGCAGCCUACUAUCAAAAACAUGUACAGUAAGGUGCCGGAAAAGGGCCACAUCACCACUCGUUAUGGAGACUGCACUGCAAACAGAAAGGCUCUACAAUAGGUUGACAGCUGGCUGACGUUAUUUUUGGUUUGCUGCUGGCGGCAAAUUUAAGUUUGGCGUUUUUCAUAAAUACAAGAAGGACUCAAAUAGACGUUGAGUAUUUUACUUAAAAGUAACCUUCAACCCAACGUCUUUUUUUCGGAGUUCAAAAUGUUUUUGUUGCAUGCAGAAAUGUAAUUUCGUUUUCUCUGCAGGAGUUCAUCAAUUUCAUAAAUGCAACACAUUAUAGUUUGUUUAUACAUAGCAUAAAGGCAAAACAAAACGUUGUAUGCAGUGUUAUUUCAUUUUAAAUGUCAAACGGGUUUUGCGGCUCCCAGUGUUUUCUUUUCUGUGGGAAACGGGUCCAAGUGGCUCUUUCAGUGGUAAAGGUUGCUGACCCCUGGACCAGGGUCUAUCACAUCUACAUUCAAGAGUGGUUUCCCACAGUUAAUUAGAAACUAAGUACAUAGAACAUAAAAAGUUCAGCACAGUACAGGUCCUUCAGCCCACAAUGUUGUGGGGACCUUUUAAUCUACUUUAAUAUCACUCUAACUCUUUCCUCCCACAUAGUGCUCCAUUUUCCUAUCAUCCAUGUGUCUCUCUUAGAGUUUCCUAAUGUACUUUCCUCUAUCACCACCCUUGCCAGGGCAUUCCAUGUAUUCACCACUCUCUGUGCAAAAGACAUACCUCAGGCAUUCCCAUUAUACUUUCCUCCAAUCACCAUAAAAUGAUGUCCCCUCAUGUUAUUUCCACCCUGGAAAAAAGUCUUUGACUAUCCAUUGUACCUUUGCCUCUUAUUGUCCUGUACACUUCUAUCAAGUCAUCUCUCAUCGUCCUUCACUGCA